GGUCGAUUGGCCCAGCGGUUUAAGGCAUCUGCUUUACACGCAGAGGAUCGCAGGUUCGAUCCCUGCAUCGAUCA
rfam:Colletotrichum orchidophilum strain IMI 309357 Scaffold_57.1, whole genome shotgun sequence.